GGGUCGGUGGUCUAGCCCGGUUACGACGCCGCCUUCACACGGCGGAGGUCACCGGUUCAACUCCGGUCCGACCCA
rnacentral:tRNA from 2 species